AAGAAACAAAAGGAGGAAGAACUUGCACCCAUACAGAAGGAGCAGAGUGAUAUUGAAGCGACGUUCAAAACUGAAAAGGAGGCUUGGACUGGGGAGAUCACCACUCUCAAACAGCCGUUGGCGCAGACUAGCAAAGUGUGUGGUUUUGUAAAGGACUCAACAGAUACAGUGAAAUUAUGUCCACCCAAAGAAGGAGCAGCAAAAGCUGAAGCGGCCCCUGUAAAAGCUGAAGCGGCCCCUGUAAAAGCUGAAGCGGCCCCUGUAAAAGCUGAAGUGGUCCCUGUAAAAGCUGAAGCGGUCCCUGUAAAAGCUGAAGUGUUCCCUGUAAAAGCUGAAGCGGCCCCUGUAAAAGCUGAAGUGGCCCCUGUAAAAGCUGAAGCGGCCCCUGUACAAGGUAAACCUGCAUCUGCAAAAGCUGAAGUGGCCCCUGUAAUAGCUGAAGCCGCCCCUGCUCCAAAGCAGUAAACGCCCAAAUUUCUCUCAGAAUAACAUUACUGGUGUGUAGUCAUUCAUUCAUGAUGUGCACUCAUAUUUAUGUUGUUUGUUUAUGGGUAAUCUUGUG